GUGGGGAAUUUUGGACAAUGGGCGAAAGCCUGAUCCAGCCAUGCCGCGUGCAGGAUGAAGGCCUUCGGGUUGUAAACUGCUUUUGUACGGAACGAAAAGACUCCUUCUAAUAAAGGGGGUCCAUGACGGUACCGUAAGAAUAAGCACCGGCUAACUACGUGCCAGCAGCCGCGGUAAUACGUAGGGUGCAAGCGUUAAUCGGAAUUACUGGGCGUAAAGCGUGCGCAGGCGGUUAUGUAAGACAGAGGUGAAAUCCCCGGGCUCAACCUGGGAACUGCCUUUGUGACUGCAUAGCUGGAGUGCGGCAGAGGGGGAUGGAAUUCCGCGUGUAGCAGUGAAAUGCGUAGAUAUGCGGAGGAACACCGAUGGCGAAGGCAAUCCCCUGGGCCUGCACUGACGCUCAUGCACGAAAGCGUGGGGAGCAAACAGGAUUAGAUACCCGAGUAGUCC
rnacentral:rRNA from 1 species